CUAGACAUUAGUGACCUUAGAGCAUCUUAAGCAGGCCCCUAAACAGAAUUUCUAUCACGUUUUUAGGAGGUAGAGCCAAAAAAACGCUCUUCAACGCGAACCUACUACAAGCCCUAUUCUAUGGAGGCCCUAGAAACACUUCCCAAUCCCCCAUUCCCAGGGGCUCCCUAUUCCCUCUCCUCCAUGCCACGCUAGCCUCACUUCUCUCCUCUCUCUGUCCAUGGCGCUCGGCCGGCCAACACCGCCGCCCCGCGCUUCGCCGUCGGCCGCCACCGCCGACCGCUGCUUCCCCGCCGCCCCCGGCUGGAGAUCCAGCAGGUGGGCUAUGGCGCCGUUCUCCUCGCUCCGCGUCGCUCGACUACGCGGCCCCCAUCUCCUCGCCGCCCGCCGCGCUGCCCCCCAUCUCCUCGUCUCCCGUCCCGCCGCCCCCCAUCUCCUCGCCCCCCGUCGCGCCGCCCCCAUCUCCUCGCCGCCCGCCGCGCGGUCCCCAUUUCCUCGCCCCCGUCGCGCCGCCCAUCUCCUCCUCUUGCCAUGCCGCCCAUCUCCUCCAUUUGGCCCGCGCCGUCGGUCGCCGACGCCGUCCGCUGCCCCGCGCGUGCUCGGACAUCCGCCCGAGCCUCCUCUUCCGGCGACUGCCAUCGCGCGCGCUCGCACCUCCGCCCGCCUCCGGCCACUGCCGCGGCGGACCCGUCCCUCGACUGCGUCGGUGUCGGCUUGGGCAGCAACGGUGGGUGUUGGAGGUGCGGGGCUUGUGCGUGCGUGGGAAGAGAGGAACGGCGGGAGGAAGAAGAUGGGAUGAGGAAAGAACUAACCCACUGACAGAUGGGUCCCAUGUCUUGCCUGCGGCGUAGCUCUCCUUGAGGUCCUGCAGCGCUUCACGGAUGUACUCAUCGCCUUGGUUCGAGUACUUCAAGCAGAUGAGCCGUUGAGCAGCCUGGUAGGCCAUCUGGAGCGGCCGGUACUGCUCACAGUUCGCAUCCAUCCUAACCAUUUCCUGUAGGGAUUCUGCAGCAUCAGUAAAAAAGUGGACCUUUUUUGUGCCAUAAACAAAGCACCCAAGGUGAGGAACAUGAGUAUAUUACCCUGGAACAUAAUUUCAAUUGCAUCAUGUAACCUUAGAGAGAUUAUAGUGGUAACCAAAUUGGAGUA